rnacentral:rRNA from 1 species
GACGAACGCUGGCGGCGUGCUUAACACAUGCAAGUCGAGCGGAAAGGCCCUUUCGGGGGUACUCGAGCGGCGGACGGGUGAGUAACACGUGAGUAAUCUGCCCUUCACUUGGGGAUAACCUCCGGAAACGGUGGCUAAUACCCGAUACGACCAUUCCUCGCAUGAGGUGGUGGUGGAAAGUUUUUCGGUGGGGGAUGUGCUCGCGGCCUAUCAGCUUGUUGGUGGGGUAAUGGCCUACCAAGGCUUCGACGGGUAGCCGGCCUGAGAGGGUGACCGGCCACACUGGGACUGAGACACGGCCCAGACUCCUACGGGAGGCAGCAGUGGGGAAUAUUGGACAAUGGGCGGAAGCCUGAUCCAGCAACGCCGCGUGAGGGAUGACGGCCUUCGGGUUGUAAACCUCUUUCACCUGUGACGAAGCGAAAGUGACGGUAGCAGGAGAAGAAGCACCGGCCAGCUACGUG